rnacentral:rRNA from 1 species
GACGAACGCUGGCGGCGUGCUUAACACAUGCAAGUCGAACGGUGAAGCGCCUUCCUUUUUGGUGGGUGUGGAUGAGUGGCGAACGGGUGAGUAACACGUGAGUAACCUGCCCCCUUCUUCUGGAUAACCGCAUGAAAGGGUGGCUAAUACGGGAUAUUCUGGGUCUGUCGCAUGAUGGGUCUGGGAAAGAUAUUGUUUCGGUGGGGGAUGGGCUCGCGGCCUAUCAGCUUGUUGGGGGGGUGAUGGCCUACCAAGGCGGUGACGGGUAGCCGGCCUGAGAGGGUGGACGGUCACACUGGGACUGAGACACGGCCCAGACUCCUACGGGAGGCAGCAGUGGGGAAUAUUGCACAAUGGGCGCAAGCCUGAUGCAGCGACGCCGCGUGAGGGAUGGAGGCCUUCGGGUUGUGAACCUCUUUCGCCAGUGAAGCAGGCCUGCCUCGUUUGUGGGUGGGUUGACGGUAGCUGGAUAAGAAGCGCCGGCUAACUACGUG